rnacentral:tRNA from 1 species
GCUCUCAUGGCGUAGUGGUCACUGCACUCGCCUUGCAUGUGGGAAACCCGGGUUCGAUUCCCGGCGGGGUCA